AUGGCGACCGGCGCACGGGUGAGUGACACGUAUCCAACCUGCCGAUAACUCGGGGAUAGCCUUUCGAAAGAAAGAUUAAUACCCGAUGGUAUAAUCAGACCGCAUGGUUUGAUUAUUAAAGAAUUUCGGUUAUCGAUGGGGAUGCGUUCCAUUAGGCAGUUGGUGAGGUAACGGCUCACCAAACCUUCGAUGGAUAGGGGUUCUGAGAGGAAGGUCCCCCACAUUGGAACUGAGACACGGUCCAA
rnacentral:rRNA from 1 species